rnacentral:misc_RNA from 1 species
AUGGAUUCUAAGAACGAGAGAAGCAAUGAAAUUAAUCACGCGUGCUUACUGUAUCGUGUUUCUUGUUCUCAAUUAAUUUGCAACAAUCGACGACACGCGUACAGUUAUCUUUCUCAAUUGCAACCAAACGACGUCAUGAUUGUUUGGAUCAACGAUUAAAUAACGCGUCUAUUCUGUUCCUCAGAGACGAAACGAAUUUUUAUUUCGUUUACUAUAUCUGAUCGCUGGAGUUGCACGUGUUGCCGUAAUCACGUCUCACUGUCGUCCUACGCGGGAAAGGAACCAACUUUUCAUUCGCCAUGUCUCGCAGCUGUUCACCGGUCGCGAUAACGUGGGCGACGGCGACCUCACUCAACGAAAACUUUAUAUUUUCGAAAGAUCGAAGCUCACCAUCGACGUUGCUUUUUAUGCCACCGAAUCGAAUUCCUACACCUUUUAGCCUGACGCCCCAAGCAACGGAAGUCUUGCCGGUUCUCCCGUUUAACCGGCCUGCACAUGUGUGCGCGCUGCACGUGUUUCUAUCGUGCGUGUCCCGUUUGACACUGGUGUGCGGGUUGAUUGUGUCGCAUGUGAGGUUGCUUCGUGAGGUAUUAUGCUCCUUCUUGGUCGUUACCUUGUCAGGAAUUUAAACGGAAGCCCGACUAGUUGUGCCUAAGGUACUCUCGUCGAG